UACGUAGGGUGCAAGCGUUGUCCGGAAUUAUUGGGCGUAAAGAGCUCGUAGGCGGUUUGUUGCGUCGGCUGUGAAAUCCCGAGGCUCAACCUCGGGUCUGCAGUCGAUACGAGCAAACUAGAGUGUUGCAGGGGAGACUGGAAUUCCUGGUGUAGCGGUGAAAUGCGCAGAGUAUCAGGAGGAACACCGGUGGCGAAGGCGGGUCUCUGGGCAACAACGUGACGCUGGAGG
rnacentral:rRNA from 1 species